rnacentral:rRNA from 1 species
AAUGGCUUACCAAGGCUACGACGGGUAGCGGGACUGAGAGGUUGGCCCGCCACAUCGGGACUGAGACACUGCCCGGACCUCCACGGAGGGCUGCAGUAACGGAUAUUGGGCAAUGGGCGAAAGCCUGACCCAGCAAUGCCGCGUGCAGGAUGAAGCCCCUCGGGGUGUAAACUGCUGUCAGGGGCAAGAAAGUCUUCGGAUUGAUCAGCCCCAAAGGAAGUCACGGCUAACUUCGUGCCAGCAGCCGCGGUAAUACGAAGGUGGCGAGCGUUAUUCGGAAUCAUUGGGCUUAAAGGGCACGCAGGCGGGAUAGCAAGUGUCAAGUGAAAUCCCCCGGCUUAACCGGGGAAUUGCUUGACAAACUGCUGUCCUUGAGACAGGCAGGGGUGCAUGGAACUCUUGGUGGAGCGGUGGAAUGCGUAGAUAUCAAGAGGAACGCCGGAGGUGAAGACGGUGCACUGGGCCUGUUCUGACGCUGAGGUGCGAAAGCGUGGGGAGCAAACGGGAUUAGAUACCCCGGUAGUCCACGCCGUAAACGAUGCCUACUAGGUUGUGGGAGUUCUGACGCUCUCACAGCCGCAGCAAAAGUGUUAAGUAGGCCGCCUGGGGAGUACGGCCGCAAGGUUAAAACUCAAAGGAAUUGACGGGGGCUCACACAAGCGGUGGAGCAUGUGGAUUAAUUCGAAGCAACGCGCAGAACCUUACCUGGGUUUGACAUGCUUGGAUGCCUGCCUGGAAACAGGUUAGGCUGCCCUUCGGGGUGAAACUUGCACAGGUGCUGCAUGGCUGUCGUCAGCUCGUGUCGUGAGAUGUCGGGUUAAGUCCUUUAACGAGCGAAACCCUUGCCGUUAGUUGCCAGCGGGUCAUGCCGGGGACUCUAACGGGACUGCCGGUGUUAAACCGGAGGAAGGUGGGGAUGACGUCAAGUCCUCAUGGCCUUUAUGCCCAGGGCUUCACACGUGCUACAAUGGCAGGUACAGAGGGAUGCGAGACCGCAAGGUGGAGCGAAGCCCAAAAAACCUGCCUCAGUUCGGAUUGCAGGCUGUCAAUUCGCCUGCAUGAAGUUGGAAUCGCUAGUAAUCGCGUAUCAGCUAUGACGCGGUGAAUGUGUUCCUGAGCAUUGUACACACCGCCCGUCAAGUGAUGGAAGCCGGGAGUACCCGAAGUCGGAUUGCUAAC